rnacentral:rRNA from 1 species
UUGGAGGGCAAGUCUGGUGCCAGCAGCCGCGGUAAUUCCAGCUCCAAUAGCGUAUAUUAAAGUUGUUGCAGUUAAAAAGCUCGUAGUUGAAUUUCGGGAUCAAUUUAUUGGUCGUGCUAUUGUACGUACUGGUAUUAUUGAUUCCUACCUUCUGACGAACCAUGAUGUCAUUAAUUUGGUGUCAUGGGGAAUCAGGACUGUUACUUUGAAAAAAUUAGAGUGUUUAAAGCAGGCUCACGCUUGAAUACAUUAGCAUGGAAUAACGAAAUAGGACGUUUGAUUCUAUUUUGUUGGUUUCUAGGAUCGACGUAAUGAUUAAUAGGGAUAGUUGGGGGCAUUAGUAUUCAAUUGUCAGAGGUGAAAUUCUUGGAUUUAUUGAAGACUAACUACUGCGAAAGCAUUUGCCAAGGAUGUUUUCAUUAAUCAAGAACGAAAGUUAGGGGAUCGAAGACGAUCAGAUACCGUCGUAGUCUUAACCAUAAACUAUGCCGACUAGGGAUCGGAUGAUGUUAAUUUUUUAAUGACUCAUUCGGCGCCUUACGGGAAA